rnacentral:rRNA from 1 species
AGCGUUGCUCGGAAUCACUGGGCGUAAAGGGUGCGUAGGUGGGUCUUUAAGUCAGAGGUGAAAUCCUGGAGCUCAACUCCAGAACUGCCUUUGAUACUGAGGGUCUUGAGUUCGGGAGAGGUGAGUGGAACUGCGAGUGUAG